GUCCAAAUGAGAGAAUGUUAGCGUCGUUUCUGAUUCUUUGUCAAAGAAAUAAUAUUUGGUUGGAGAACAUGGAUGGAAAGAUUAUAUGUAUACCAAUGGACUGUUUUAGAGCAGAAAUUAGAAUUUGUAACUGAAAUUUUGACAUGGCAUUGCAAAUUUGCAAAUGCCUACAAUUCAUGAUUCAUAACACAGUGAUUAGUCAUAUGCCCGAAUAUCCCUU
rnacentral:misc_RNA from 1 species